UUAAGAAGCCAAAUUUCAUAACCUUUUGAUACUUAGCAACAACUUGUGACUGUGAAGCUAAGCGGCACUCCUGCCUGAACAUGCAAAUAUGCGUGCUUGACUUGCCCUGAUAUUGUCUUUCAGGGUCAUCUGACGAUGAUAGUCUCAAAGGAAUCAGCUGUGAAUACCUAGAAAGACUCUUCAGCUUUCCUCUAUUCUUAAUGAAACUACAAGAUUAUAUCACUUUAUUCCUGGUUUUCCUGUGUGUUCCUGAACCAGCAAUCCAGAUGGAACCAUAUCAAUUCUAAGUGUGUCUAGGUAUGGGAUAGACUCCUAGAAGAAGGAUUGACAGCUACCAAAGACACACUGAUAAUGUAUUCAAAUGCAUAUUUCUCAUCAUAACCUCACCAAUAUAAAUGAAUGCUAACUUUUAGAUUCAUGCCAGUAUAAUAGCUAAAAGGAUUGGGGUCCCAUUGUAGUUUUAAUUUACAUUUCUUUUAAAUUGUAUGAGGUUAAGUUUCUUUUAAUACAAUUAAGUGGUAUUAUAUUGCUUUUCUUAGAACCUAUUCAUUCACUAGCACAUUUUAUAUAGAGUUCUUCUCUCUCUGUAAAAGCUAAAUGUAUUUUAAAAAUAUUAACCCUCUGACCAGGACAUAUAUUACAAAUAUUUUCCCUAGUUUCUCCAUUUUUCAUUUUUCUUUAUUUAGCUUGUGAUACCUUUUGCCAUGUGAAAGUUUAUAAUAUGCACAUGUAUGUAUACUUGUAUAUAUGUAACAGGUAAACUAUAUUAUGUAUGGGUCUCUAUAUAAAAUCUUUUUUUCUGUAUUUUGGAUUAUAUUUAGUAAGAUGAUUCCUGUUCUCACAUUAGAAAAUAAUUUACCUAUGUGU